ACCCACUGAAUUUAAGCAUAUAAGUAGGUGGAGGAGGUGACACAAACUGAGACUCCAGAAGUAGUUGCGAAUGAAUGUGGAGCUGCUCAGCUUGAAAUCUGUUAGGCACCUGCCACUGACAUGAAACUUCUGAGUGUGUUGUCAAUGGAGGUGCAUGUGUUAGCCACUUUGGAAAGGGGGAGGUAGGUAUAUACAAGGGUGAGAAUCCAUCUUGUCACUUGCUUUGCCUCUGUGUACUGCACAGGUAUUCCAGAAUCAUGCUCUUUGGAAGUGGAGUGUAAAGGGGGUGGUAGAUUUCAUCCAAAGGUGACCACAAUGCUGAGACCGACAGUGAAGAAGUACCAUGAGGGAAGUGUGAAAAGGACUUUGGAAAGA
rnacentral:rRNA from 1 species